ensembl:lncRNA
UUUUGAGUGAAAAAGUAAACAAUUUCUAAAAUAUAAACUCAGAAUUUAGUGGACAAAAAAAGUGAAAAACUAAGAUGUAAACCAAAUUGAGGGGAAAAGUGGCAAAAUUAUAAAGUGCAAACUCAGAAUUUAAAGUGAAAAACAUCACACAUUUCCAAAAUUUCAAUCAGUAAUUAGAGGACAAAACAAGUCAUAAAUUUGCAAGAUACAAACUCAGAAUUUUGAGUGGAAAAGUCAAAAACUACAAGAUGCAAAAAGUCACAAAUUUCUGAUAUGAAUGUAAAAUUUAUAGGGAAAAAGUAAACAAUUUCUAAGAUAUAAUCUCAAAAUUUAGAAAGAAAAAAAUGAAAAACUUGUCACAGUGGAACUACUGAGAGGAGUGCGGAGCGAGGAACGAAGGAGAUGAGGCGUACAUGGAAGGAAAACUCACAUAGCACAGGUUAACAUGAACAAUACCAGACCAAGAACUCAAAACAGGAAACACUUUAAAUACACAACUUAAUCAGGGGAAGACGAGACACACCUGGAAUCAAAUGAAAAACAAUCAGGGAGCAGGAACAGGAAGAUGACCAAAUAAGGGCGAAACACACCCAAAACACGGGACAGAGUCUGACAGUUACAAACUCAGAAGAUAGCGAACAAAAAAGUCAAAAACUAAAAGAUGUAAACAGAAUUGAGAGAAAAAAGAGGGAAAAUUACAAAAGGUAAAAAAUCUGAAUUUAGUGGGGGGAAAAGUAAAAACCUGCAAGAUACAAAUGUAAAAUUUAGAUGGAAAAAAGUGACAAAUUUAGAAGAUUUAAUCUCAGAAUAUAGAAGGGAAAAAAAUCACAAAAAGUCAUAAAUUUGCAUGAUGUAAUCUCAACAUUUAGAGGACGAAAGGGUCAAUAGAUAAAAGAAGUAAAGUCAGAAUUUAGAAGGGAAAAAGUUUUACAUGUGCUAGAUGUAAACUUGCAACAAAAGAAAAUAGAGGGCACAAAAGUCAAGAAACUACAAGAUAUACACUUUAGAAUUUAGAAGACAAAAAAAGUACAGUAUAUCAGUAUAUCAGGCGAAAAAAGUCCAACACUAAAAGACAUGAACUUAGAAUUUAGAGGGGAAAGAAGUAAUACAUUUGCAAGAUAUAAACUCAGAAUUCAGAACGGAAAAAUGUCAGAAUGGUGAACUCUUAAUUAACUCUUAAUUAACUUUUUUUUAUUUAUUUUUUUUUAUAAAUAAGCUUUCAUAGAUCUCAGCUGGCAUUACAGUGAAGCCAAAAAAAGAUGAAACAAUUAGACUGAAAAAACAAAACAGAGCAGGGAUGAAAGAUGAGAUGAAGUUAUGAUGUUUGAUUAAUGCUAAAAGAAUCAGAGGUUUCCAGGAGCGAGAGCCGGAGGUAAAGGACACGCUGCAUUAACAGAGCUUAAGAGUGACUUUGAGUCUGAUUAAACACUGCUUCAGUGAAGUCACCUUCUCUACCACGUCCAUCCGGUCAUGAAGAGCGUUCUGAUCCUGACAAGCGUUUGAGCUGCUGCUCGUCUCUGUCACACACACACACACACACACACACACACACACACACACACACACACACACACAGAUCUACUGUUAAUACAUGAAUUACAGUCACUGCAAAACACAUUAAACAUCAGUCACACUGGAAAUGGAUCAGAGAUUCACCUCAAACAUGAAUACAAUCAUCUGGACACAAGGAAAUACAAAUACAACAACACACUCUGAAUACUGAGAGCUCAUGUCUCACACACACACACACACACACACACUAUAACCAGUGUUGGGGAAAGUUACUUUUAAAAGUGAUGCAUCACAAUAGUGCAUUACUCCCUAAAAA